UCCACAAUGUCAUUCAAGGAGAAGUGACAAAUAAUGUGGACACAUGCCCUCCAUCAGGAUAUAUCGUUGAAUAUACUAGAGAUAACAUUUGACGAUUUCACCAAACCUGCCCGUGAUCUCAAUAUCAUGAAAGAACAUAACUCCAUGAAAGCUACUACUGAUCCUUCAUCUAAUAGUUGCAGUUUAGCAGGUAUGGUAAGAUAAAUGAGGAUAAAGAUCACCAUGAUAAAUACCAAAACCAGCAUUUUCAAAAAUAUUAACCCUGUGAACUGACAUCUUCAUUCAUAAAUUAGAAAGCCACACUG
rnacentral:misc_RNA from 1 species